rnacentral:lncRNA from 1 species
ACUGUGAGAGUUACCCGAAGCUCGGCGUCCGUGAGGGUCUAGGGGGCUUCCGAGGGGAUCGGGCAGUCAGUCUUCAGCCGCUAAGCCCAGAAGAUCUGGGAAGGAGUCAGUCAGGGCAUGGAAAUAAGGGAUUGAGGUGCAGAGAUAUAAGAGGGUGGGGUGCGGAAAUAAGGGAUUGGGGUGCAGAGAUACGAGGUUGGGGCAUGGAAAUACGGGAUUGGGGCAGAGAGAUAAGAGGUCAGGGUGCGGAAAUAAGGGAUUGGGGCACAGAGAUAAGAGGUCGGGGUGCAGAAAUAAG